UACGGGGGGGGCGAGCGUUGUUCGGAAUCACUGGGCGUAAAGGGCGCGUAGGCGGCCCGCACAAGUCUGCGGUGAAAACCCCCGGCUUAACCGGGGGCCGGCCGUGGAAACUGUCGGGCUAGAGGCCGGGAGAGGGCAGCGGAAUUCCCGGUGUAGCGGUGAAAUGCGUAGAGAUCGGGAGGAACACCGGCGGCGAAGGCGGCUGCCUGGACCGGCCCUGACGCUGAGGCGCGAAAGCUAGGGUAGCAAACAGG
rnacentral:rRNA from 1 species